rnacentral:lncRNA from 1 species
UUUUUUCUAAAAAACUAUACUUUUUUUUUAAUUUUCAAUAAAAUAUUUUUUAUUUUUCAUAAUUAUAAAUAUUUUUUUAUUUCCAUUUUUUUGUUUUCACUCUCAAUAAUUCAGUUUAGUAAUAUAGUUUAGUUAAUCAUAUUUUUGCACACCCCUAUACCAUUGUACUGAAACUACUAAGUUGAAGGAUUUUCAUAAAAGUUUG